UCUCAACAGCAUUUCAUCAAAGGAAGCUGUAGAAUAUAUAUCCACCACAGUGCUUCUUUGAUCAAGAGAGAGAUCACAUCAUCAGAAAGGAAUGACAAAAACAGAUGGACGGCGGGAAGGAGGAAAAGGGCUGGGCGGCAUUUGUUGCUUAUGUGAACUCUGUGUCGCAGCGCUAUCAUGCUGUGGCGCAGCGAUGACAUGGUGGUCUAAUAUUUUGACCUGCUGGGGCUUGUUUGAGAACUGCUGUGGGUGCUGUGGGUGCGAACCUUGCUGUGGGUGCUGUGGGUGCGAAUCUUGCAGUGGGUGAGAACCUUAGGGACCUGAUAAUGCCGGCUAUUGAACAAUGGUGACGUUCCAGGCUUGUUGAUCACAAUGUCGUGUCUGUAAUGUUUUCUGUUUGAGUGACUAUGUGUAAUAUCAUUUAAUAAACCAGCGAGAUAUGUUAGAGCAUGUUACAAACCGCAGUGUUGCAACUGGCCUAUCAAUGUUUGCCCUUUGAUAUCUACUCAAAUUCGGUGUGUAAUUUAAUCAGUUUGCAAAUCUCUAUGUUUCUUA